GCCGGGCUAGGUAACGCAAGCUUGUAACUCAAGUGAGGGCAUUAAGGUGAUUGGACUUGGGCCAUACUCUUGCUGGUCGGGCCUGAGAUAGCUAUUCCAGACCCGCCCAUUCCAAGUUGGGAGUUGGGCUGUGCGGUGCGGGUGAAGACCUGUGCCACGUAGCACCUAGAGUGGAGGGUACUGCGUCAGUCUGGCUUCACAGAGCAGCGAAAACCUCCCGCUCUCGACAGUGGAAGGAUAACGGGUCCAGCACCUCUGGUCCAAUGUGGCCAGCUAGGUUUGGCCCAAUGGACAAUCACUUUU